CCUACGGGGGGCAGCAGUGGGGAAUAUUGCACAAUGGGGGAAACCCUGAUGCAGCAACGCCGCGUGAGCGAAGAAGGCCUUCGGGUCGUAAAGCUCUGUCCUAAGGGAAGAAGCAUGACGGUACCUUAGGAGGAAGCCCCGGCUAACUACGUGCCAGCAGCCGCGGUAAUACGUAGGGGGCGAGCGUUAUCCGGAAUCACUGGGCGUAAAGGGUGCGUAGGCGGCCGAUUAAGCCAGGGGUGAAAGGCUACGGCUCAACCGUAGUAAGCCCUUGAAACUGUCUUACUAGAGUGCAGGAGAGGAAAGCGGAAUUCCUAGUGUAGCGGUGAAAUGCGUAGAUAUUGGGAGGAACACCAGUUGCGAAGGCGGCUCUCUGGACUGUAACUGACGCUGAGGCACGAAAGCGUGGGGAGCGAACAGGAUUAGAUACCCGGGUAGUC
rnacentral:rRNA from 1 species